UUGUCUCACAGCCUUCCCCUUCUCUUAGAGACAAAGAUGUCUCCAAUCAAAUCACAUUCAGCAACAAAAAGGUUCCAUGAUAGGGAUCAGUUUUUUAUUAUGACGGUAGGAGACAAGAACAGAAAUCUUUUCCUGAGUUUAGGAAGAGUGCACAAGGUAUGUAAUGGUAUAAAAAUUCUACCUCACAGUUAUUGUGACCAAAAUAAUCAUGGUUUUCGGGAUAAUAGUAAUAUUUUUAAAAAUGUAUUCAAAGGCAUUGAUUGCGGCAUUUUUGAUGCUUUUAACUAGCGCCAAUCAAGACCUUGUUUUCAUCAUUUCAUCAUAUCUAGACAGGAUUACUGUCUUCAACUAAACGUUCCCUCGACAUUCCUAUAAAACCCAAAAUAUGCCCAUACUUCCAACUCAGUCCUCUUACAGGGCUGAUGGAUGUCUUUGGCGCAGUUGUCUCCUCCUUCCACAUGAUUCUAUUUCAAACUUAAUAGAAAGUUUAAACCAUAGACUAUAUCUACUGUGGACAACGAUCUCACGGCUGAUCCUGCCAGUAUACGGAUUUGAAGCCAAAAAGCUCUCAGUAUUUCCGCAAUUUUUCUUCAUUUCCUGAAACCAACAUUGCGCAGUAGCAUUGUACGCACUCCACCACUUGCACAGUAGCAUUGUGCGCAUUCGACGGGAGAGUUGCUGAGAGUCGCUGUGAUGACUCUUGGCUCAAACAGCGUAUCCCUCAGGUGAGCUACACAAUCUUUGUACACCCAUAGGCUGUUUUAAGUGUCAAUCAUCGAAAACACAAACCCCUUUAUAACUUUUAAAAACGAUGCUGCACAGAAAAAAGAGGACUACAAAUAACUACAUGUCAACAUCGCAACCAGGGGGGAGAAAAAUUUAUAUUCUGUGUAAUCCAUUUCUAAAGUUUGUCCACAGCCCCAUAAGCUUUGAUGGUGUAGGAAGGAUUAAUGACCUAUACUGCAGCCCAUCAACAGAGGGUGCUGUUCUCGGAGUGGCUUCACCCAGCUAGGAGGCAGACGCUGUCUCUUCUAUAUACAGUGUAUGGUUUAAACCCAAAUUGUAGGCUUCUCAGUGUGCCUGCGCAGCUAAUUCAGGAGACUCGGAUAAGGCUGGGAUGAUUAACACAAGGUUUCCCCAACAUGCAAUCGAUCACGGCGCACCGCCACGGCUAAAAAAAGAAAAAGCCGCCUGUUUCUUUCAUGGCUCUACCUCAGAUUCAUAUUUAUCUGCAUAUGUACGUGCAACGCACCGCAGAGCGAGCGUGCCGAGUAUUAGCAUUAGCAAGUUACUGUCGGCGAUCACACAGCUGAUUAAUUAGCGAGUUAUUGUCCUUGUUCACACAGCUGAUUGAUAACGGAGUUAUUGUCAGCGAUCUCACGGCUGAUUCAUUGCACACACACAAACACAUUUUUGAAAUGAAAACGGUAAACGUUAUCAAUAUUUUUAGCACGAUUUACCAUUAAACCUAUUACCGCUACAUCCCUAGAGUGCACUGAAUAACACUGAGGUUUUCCUUAAAGAGACCCGUGGGAUGAGUGGGAGCUAAAAACGUGCGGGGUUGACAUUCCCUUUGUGUGAAAGUACACAGAAGUGUCUUUUGUAAGACUUGCGCUUUGUUCAAAGAGAGUGGGCUGACAUGUAAAUGUUGGUGGUACUAUAAUGACAAGCAGACAGCUGAAGAGUUUUAGGAACCGAACCUGUCAAAACAAAGUCGAUUGAAUAUUAGAGCUGUCAAGAAAUUAGAGAAAACAUCUUACUAAUUACAGGUUUUGUAAUUAAUUGCAGUUAACCUCAUUAUUAAUCAGGGAGACAUAGAUUAUCCGGUUUCCACUCGGUAAGGAAGAGCCAUUAACAGCUGGUCCGAUGAUCUGGGAGCUCUGGGACCAAAGCUUUUUGUCUGAGUGUGUUGCUGUGUGUGAGAUACCAGGGGCCCUAAGUGAUGAGUUAAUCCCCCUGUGGCAUUGGGAAGACCGAGGAGACCUCUGUCUUACUGCCAUUAAGUUGCAAUCAGUUAUUUGCUAUCAGCUGUUUGACAUGGGGGAGGCAUUCGAGGUGGGAUUGAACCAGAUGGGAAACCUUGGUAUCAUCUGCAUAGCGACGGUAUGAUCUAUUGUGUUUUUUGAAGAUGGAAAGGUCGCUCUGUGGAUUAAAUGAUCCAACUAAGGCAAGAAAUCCAGAUUUUACAGAAAUGCAAGUGUAACAAGAGUGAAAUCUUGCUGAACAGCUACAAACACUUGAUACAACCCUCAAACUAAUGUCUUCAGUAAUGUUUGACCUCAGAGUGCGAUAAUUCAUUAAUUGAAAUUGACAAGUUACUUUGACAGCUUCGUGAAACAUAAAUUGAGCAACAAAAUUUAAACAGUGCUGCGGUUUCUUGGUGAAUGGGCUCAGAUUGAUGUCAUUUACAUAGUAUGGGUCAACUACUUGCUUUUUAUGGCAGUUCUAAGUCAACAUGAUUGAAAAGAGCAGCACAGUUUUACAAGCUCUGCAGAAAGUAAACAAGACGACAGCAUAGAUAUACUGUAACACUCUGCAUAAUAAGCCACGGGUUAAACAAAUCUAAUUAAAAUACAUCAGCCUGCAAACAUAUAUGGGUUAAUUCAGUGCAAUUUAUUCAGUAACAUAACUCCCCUCCUCAUCUGUGGUAACUUAAAGAGUGGUAAUUACCAACAAAAAGAGGUGGCAUCUCCUUUGUGGGGGCGAGUAAAAGGUGAGGAAGAUUGCACAAAUGCUUUGUGCUAACGUCUACUCGGUUCCUGUCACCCUCUAAUUGGUUUAUAGUGCUGAUGGUUGCUAGUUAGAUGCACUUCCUGGCUAAUUUCCAGCUGUCAGAGGUUGUGAGUGCAGGUUCUUAGCAGAAUCCCAGUGGCACGAUGUCAGCUUUUAUUUCCUUAAACUUGCAGCACAAAACUGUCUGAGGUACUUAAUAUGCUAUUUUCUUUCGUCAGUAUUUAAAGCGCUUUAUCAUAAUUAAAUCAAAGUGAGUGUUCUUCUUUUUGAGAUGGUGUUCCCAAACACAGAAGCAUUCAAGUUAACUAAAUAAAUAAUCUGUGGCGUGUUCUCCUGGUGAUGUAAUCUACAGUUAGAGACCGAACACGUCUGCCAUGUUUAAUUUUUCAGGUUUCAUGGCUAAACUCUGGGACUUGAUCUGACCUCUUUGGUCCCAGAGCUCAGGGAGGUUGAGGGACUUUUACUCUUAAGUACCUCCACCCUUUCUGCAGCCGCUGCUUCAUUAUCCUCACCCAUACACCGGCCAAAGAGGUAAAAUCUAGUAGGAACAAUUUGAAACCCUCUGGAUCCUCACUCAUAGGGUCCAGGCCUAUUAGAUCACAGUGACACAUGUGGAAUGAGGUCAUGUAUUCACUGCAGGGCAAUCCUUAUCCAUAUUUCUGGGAGCUCUCCUCAGAGGGAGUAGGGAGAUGGAGGAAGAAGGAAGGAGAGAGAAAUGAGGGAGUAAGUCCCAGAGAGGGUCAUUAAAAUGUGAAAAACCCUGACCAAGUGGUCUUUUCAGCCCUUUGCGUCAUGACAAAUGUUCUGAAUAUAUAGAUCUGAGAGGAGCUCCUUGUUCCUUUCAAAAAGAUGAUAAAUCAAAAACUUUGUUGGCCACUCACUACUUCAUGGUGCCACAAAGAGCCUUGAGUCUAAUACAUUAUAUUCUAAUCGCUAUGAAUAAAAAGGAAAAUUAGCUUAAGCAAGGCCGUGAAACCACUUGAACGCCGUCACCUCUUUGAUGCUCUGGGCUAUUUUUUCAAUGUUAUGACUACUGCUGCUGCUGCUGCUGGAGGAUCGUACGCAGACACAGCUCUGUGCCUUCAGAUUAGUCAUAGUACACUCUGCAAGGACUUUAGUGAACUGAAGAGAGAAGAUAAGUUAUGAAAUAAAACUUUCUACUUGUGUGCAGUCAAGGAAAUUAGACAAAAACAGAACAGAUUUAUUUAAGGUUUAAUGUGUCAAACAGGUGAUUCCCUGAGACAACUUUUUGUUAAAGGUUUACAUGAGAGACAGACUGGUAAAUCAGUUGGUCAAUUUGGCUGAUAAAUGGGAUUUUUUAGUCAUCUGCAACAUAUCUUCCUCAGUCCUCCUACCUGUGUCAUUUUCAAAGGCUCUUCUUCUGCAGAGCUCCAGUAUCUUAUUGGUAAUUCGCAUCCGAGUCGUGGGCGGAGACAGCGCUGCUUUGUACACUCCUCUUCACGCUACCUUGUAGCCUAACAUUGCCGGUGUAGUAGAAGUGGCAGGUAACAUCGGAGCUAUUCAACUCUUGAGCACUUGUGUUUUAGUGACAUUAUGAAAGUUAGCAUCAUAAUUAGCUUUCUUACGAGCAUUGCUAUCCACAAAAUACUGCAAACACUUGUUCUGCGAUGGUCCUAUCUACUUCUUCUACGGGGGCGGAGCUUGGGUUUGUGACAUAGAAAAUCUCACUGAGUCUGAACUUAUAAUUUGGGUCUGUGGGAGGUUCACAGUGAAUUGAAUACAGAAAUACCCAGAAAUGUAAUUUCGCACUUAGUUUUCUCAUUAUAUGUCCUGUAGCAUCAGAAAAAUGCCAUAUAAACACGUAGACAACAAGGAAAACACGCUUUUCUUCGGAGUGGGUCUUUAAGAUAAUUUAAUGUGUAUGAAGUAAUGGAUUUAUACAUGACUUAUUUAAGUUUUAAUCGCAAUAUUUAUAUUAGAGGGCUGGACAGACCUCCAAAACUUCAUGGUAAAUUCGUAUUUUACCUAGCUUAAUUUUAAAAUCUUAAUGUUCACGCAUAGUCAGCUAUUUUUAAUCUCUUGGUGUUAAUUGUUGUAUUUUUUUAACUGUAAAUCGAUCAACUGCUAUUUUACAAAAGGAUUACUGCUCCUUUGAAGCCAUCCACUUGAGUUAAAUAAAACUCCACAAAAAGGCCUUUUACUCUGCAGUUAGAGAAGGAUUUUUUGAGGGAAAUGUAAGAGGUUCUCAGCCUGUUUUCUUCCCCAAAGGUAUCCUUCAGUGUCUGCAUGAAUUGCAGCAUUAUUGAAAUCUCAGAGACAAAGCUUCAACUGAGGUAGUUAAAAGAAGAAUAAAACCUGCUUGGGGUGACAUUCAGGAGGUAAUGGAAAAAGAAAGGCUCUUUGCCAUGCACACUGGGUUUAAGUCUUGCUCAGAGUUAAAGCUAAACACUGUUUUACUGCUGCAAACUUUGACCAAAUGAAACUUGGUUUUAGUUUUGCAUUUUUCCAUUGUCCUCUCCUUAAGCGGUAGCACAUGGAAGUAAGAAGCCACAAACCCCUUUGUCAGGAUAUCCUGGUACAGUGAGCCCUGAAGCAAGAUAAUACCCAUCCUCAUGUGGCUAGAAUGUGUCAGCAGUUCCUGGACGAUGAAGAUGUGAAAGCUACUGACUGGCCUGCCUGUUUCCCCAGAACUGAGUCCAAUCCAGCACCUCUGGGACAUCACGUCUGUGGUGCCAUCACAGACUGAGUGACGCCUUGAUCCAGGUCUGGAAGGAGAUCCCCCAAGGAGAUCAUUUGUCGUCUCAUCAAGAGCAUGCUCAGAUGUUGUAGGGAGUGUGAAGAUGCAUGUGGAGAUCAUACACAACACUGAGCCACGUUUUGAAUGAUCUUGAGGAAAAUGACAGAAGUUGGAUCAGCCUGUGAUCUCGUUUUUCCACUUUAAUUUUCCAGUUUGACUCUUAGACGGAUACUUCUCACAUUAUUUUGUUCUUAAUGAAUUUCUCAAGAUUUUUUAACAGGAAUAUUUCAUUUAUCCAGUUUCCUGUGUUGCUGACUCAAAACAGAUGAGCUAGGGGAAAAUAGGACUAUUGUACAAAUCACUCAAUCUUGUAGUUGUAUUAAAUUAUGAUUUUGGAUAACUGUUGACACUUUCUUCUCAGAUGAGCCAAAAUUAAUGCAUGAUUUAGUAUUUUUUGAGUGUGAUCAGAUGUCAAGUAUGCUCAUAAAGUGCAUCAAUGAUUUUGCCCUUGAGCGUAGUGAUAUGUGGAAAUCUUGGUAUCACUUAACAAUAACCAUAAUCCAUAAAUGGCAAAUAGAUAGUUUAUUAAUGUUUAAAAACAGCUUAUAGACCAAUUAUAAAUGGCAAAUAGAUAGUUUAUUCAUGUAAGUUCAUGGUUUCUUUACCAUUACCAAGCAAUGAAAUUAUAAUUAAUAAUUGUCCAUUAAUUAUUAAUGGACAAUUAAAAGUUUGUAUAUGGUUAAAAUAUUGGUUGUAAAACAUCUAGAUUAAAAUGUGUCAGUAUCACUUUGUAAAUGGUUAAUAUUUGGUUUAUAAACUAUCCAUAAACAUUACUUAGAUGGUUAUUGUAAAGUUAGGGUUAGGUUUUUAAAAUUGUAAAAUUUACAAUUUAUUAAUGGUCUAUAUACCAUUUAUAAAUGAUGAUUAAACAUUAAUAAACCAGCUGCUUACCAUUUAUAAAUGGUCUAUUUACCAUUUAUAAUUUAUGGUUAUUGUAAAGUGUUACGGAAAUCUUAUAUCUGCUCACUUCUUAAAUUUGAAAGUGGUCAACUUUAAAUAUACUGUGCCUUUUAUUUACAAUUUUUGAAUCACAUCUUUAUGUCUAAUCUGACCAUUUAGCACCAUGACUGCCUCCUACAAUAAAUGUUCUGCAGGAAAAUAAAGGCCUGCCUCUAAAGUCUGCCUCUGCAUUUAAUACUCUACAAACAACUUUUUAUUGCUCCCUUAUGCCUCAAUGGAGUAGUGGACCUGCUUCACAAAUGAUUGAAGUGGUUAUAUAAAAAAAUGAAAAAAAAAGCACAGACAGAGAGGUCUCCUUUCUAAGAAGUGCAUUGACUACACCGAGUAAAUCUACACCUCAUUAACUUGACCAAAAUCUGCAGCCAUUUACACUCUAAUUAAAAGGCGAAACCCAAAGAGGCUUGCCCUGCUACUUGCAUUAAAAGCUCUUGAUUAUGCAGUCAGUCAUGUUUAAUUCACAGCAUAUUUCAGUGUCAAAAGAUACAUUGCACAGUCAUGAAAUAUUGAGAGGGCCCCUAGAGGCAAAGAUCGCAAGCUUGCUCUCUCAAAAAGAUCAAAAAAUGAGAUAACACACCAGCGCACAUCCAGGGCAGCGGUGUAUCUCCUUGAUCCUCUUAUCUCAUGCUGCAACGCAACAACAUACUCUAUCGACGGAGCAUGACCAGCAUGGAUGUUACAGUCUCCCGACGUCAUGGUCAUACAGGAGCGUGCGCUCACAAACACACACGUACAACAACAGGGAUUUCUGACAGAGAUAAAAGCCACAGCAGGCCGGCCACAGCCUCAACUUUCUGCCGGUGCAGCUGCUCUUUUUGGUUCAGAUUGGAUGCAAAUUGGACGCCACUGAAGUAUUUCGGUAUUUGCAUGUGCACGAAAAAGAAAAUCAAAGCAUCUAUUGAAUAGCAAAGAAACAGAGGCUUUGA
rnacentral:lncRNA from 1 species